rnacentral:tRNA from 3 species
ACGGGCAUAGUAUAACGGUAUUAUUGCAAUUCUUCGGGGAUUGCCGAUGCAGGUUCAACUCCUGCUGCCCGGU